rnacentral:misc_RNA from 1 species
AAGUCGUAACAAGGUUUCCGUAGGUGAACCUGCGGAAGGAUCAUUAACACAAUUUUACUGUGAUAAAAUCCAUUGAAUUUUCGAAUUCAAUGGUAUCCACCCCAUUAUUGACGAACUUUUUUGUCUAGAUGUUUUAAGAAACAUAGAGCUCGUCUUUGCGUUUUUCAAAACAUUCUAAACAACCUUUUUUUAUACCCCAUCACAUUUUUUAACCCCUUUUACAACAUGCCUUAGACUGAAAUGAAAAUUUCUUUAUUAUCAAAACAAUGAUAAAAAAAACAACUUUUAACAACGGAUAUCUUGGCUCUC